rnacentral:piRNA from 1 species
UGAGGUCCAGGGACGUGUAGGACUG